rnacentral:rRNA from 1 species
GAUGAACGCUGGCGGUAUGCUUAACACAUGCAAGUCGAACGGUCACUUCGGUGAUAGUGGCGGACGGGUGAGUAACGCGUGAGAAUCUGUCUUCAGGUCGGGGACAACAGUUAGAAAUGACUGCUAAUACCGGAUGUGCCUUUGGGUGAAAGAUUUAUUGCCUGAAAAAGAGCUCGCGUCAGAUUAGCUAGUAGGUGGUGUAAGAGACUACCUAGGCUCCGAUCUGUAGCUGGUCUGAGAGGACGAUCAGCCACACUGGAACUGAGACACGGUCCAGACUCCUACGGGAGGCAGCAGUGGGGAAUUUUCCGCAAUGGGCGAAAGCCUGACGGAGCAAUACCGCGUGAGGGACGAAGGCUGUUGGGUCGUAAACCUCUUUUCACAAGGAAGAUGAUGACGGUACUUGAGGAAUAAGCAUCGGCUAACUCUGUG